AUUGAAACUAUUCAAUGGCAUGUUUAAAUCUCGAUAUGCCCCUCUUGUUUGUGACUGGGAUACCGAGGAUCACAAAGCGGGUGUGAAUUACCAUGCAAAUUCACAUGGUGCCUUCAUUGUAACGAUCACCUAUUCGAUGUGCCGGUAAACCACACACGCUCCAUCGAACUAUGAUAAACAAUGAAUCACCCUUUGCCACCUUUGCUUAGAACCAAUUAGUGUGCCGGUAAACCACACACGCUCCACUAACUUCUUAGCAAUGGUGCAAAGUGUAAUUUCAUGGGAUUGCAUCAAUUCACUUUUCCUAAAGUAACUAAGUUUGGGGAAUUUUUUUAAAAAAAAUGUGUAGUUACUUUUUAUUACUUAUCAUACUUUUAAUGAGAGGAUGAGGUUGCCCUAUCCUACCCGUUCGGCUAACGACCCUCCACCAAUCAAGCAAGCGGUGGGUGUGAGUGUACACCCAUUAAGCGCCAUUUUAUAGGCCGCAACCUUAUACCCACCUUAUAGAUCGGCUUCGUGAAUGAGGCCUACUAACGGUAAGACUAGCAUUUAGUUAUACAUAUAUAUAUAUUUCUAGUAAUAUCAUAUUAGUAUAGGGUUGUAUUUUAAAACUUUUAAAAUCUAGGGUUUGAAAUUUAAGUUGUCUAAAUUAAAACUUUUAAUCACAAAUAUAAAUUUCAAAACUUGAGGGCAAGUUUUAAACAUUUAAAACAUGGAGGAUCAAAUAACAAAUAAUUCCAAUUAACAAUUAAUAUCCUAAUUAUCUAUAUUUGAUUUUAUUCAAGAUUUCUUUGAAAGAUAAUUACCAAAAUAAUUAAAAUAAUUAAUUAAUUAUCAUAUAAGGAAAUUAAAUAUUUUAUUAGUUGAUAAAUACCUUUAACUAGAUCAAGAUAAUAGUCAUAUAUAUCAAAAAAUCGGAUUUAGGUUGAUCUAUUAUGAUUAAGGUAAGUUUCCAUAAGAUAAUUAUGAAAAAAUCCCGAAUCUGGCCAUUCCUGACGCCUGGACUCGCCGAGUGCACAAAGGGACUCGCCGAGUCAGGCCUACUCGCCGAGUCCACUUUGGAACUCGCCGAGUCCAUGACUCAGAAACCAAAAAAUCGAAUUUUGCAGGUUUGUUUCAGUUAAUCAAGCAACAAUUUAAAGAAAACCAAGCUAGGCUCUGAUACCACUGAUGGGUUUUAGCCAUAAGAACUUUCCUAUGUGCGCAUGCAAAACCCUAAUGCUUGGAUCUAGGCUUUCUAAUUAAACAUGCUUUGAAUCCAAGACUUCUAAUGACUAUUUAGGUGUAAUAACAAUAUUGAAACAAAUCUAGAAUCAUACCUUUUAAUUCCUUGUUGAUCUUGUUGUCUUGGAGCUUCUAGAGUCACAAUUGUCACUCCUCUAAUGGCUUACAAACACCAAAUAGCAAGGAGGAUGAUUUGGGAGAGAGGAGAGGGGAGGAAAUCGGCCAGGGUUUCUAUGCUUUAGAUGAAGUGCCGAUUUCCCUUAGCCAUAGGGUCUAUUUAUACUUGUAGACUCCUUAAGGGUUACAACCUAAACCCUAAUUGGAUAAUCUUCUCUUAAGGCUAUCCAAAUCCAUUCCUUAGAUAACUCUUGGACGAUUUGAGCUAUCCUUUAGCUUCUAGAAUCCGUCCAAUCCAUAUCUAUAUGGAUUUACAGUCUAAAGUUUAACUAUCAAACAAUUGACAGUUUAUACCCUCUUAUUUAAUUAAUCUCUUUAAGUCACCAAAUUAAUUCCAAUUAAUUCUAUGACUUAUAUUAAUCAAAUAACAAUAUAUUAUUCUUUAUAUUAUUCUCAUAAUAUACUAAUAAUAUUUACUCUCUCUUAAUAAAUCAUCCUAUCAAGUUGCUAUGGUGAAGGCAACCCAAAAGGACCAUGCACAACCGGGUCAAAUACUUGUCUAAUAUAGUUGCGGCCUUAGACACUAUUCCAGCAAUCAAAUAUUCCCAAGGCUACAAGCAUCACAUAUCAGGCCAAUCUAUUGCUGACUACUCAACGCUAGCAUGCAAGUCUACCAGCUCAUGCAACAUAUAAAGGCAUCUACCCUAACCCGAACUAGCAUGUGAUUCUCAGAUUCAUUAAUCAAUUCAUAAUAGAUAACAUAUAUGGGUAUUAUGGGGAAACUUACUUGAGCUCGGUUGAUUGCAUGCACCACACCCUUUCUUGUCUUAUAAACUCUUUCCUUAAAACAAUUUUCUUUUGAAAACUUUACAGAUCCUCAGUUUGAGUUCAGACACACUCGAAAGUAUGUCCGAAUCCCUCAAACCAAGGCUCUGAUACUAACUUGUAACGACCCAAAAAUCAAGGGUAAAAAUUUUAUUUUUAAUAUAGUCAAAAUAUAGAUAUCAUUUAUUCCAAACAUCUAAAACAUCGUUAAUGAAAAACAUUUAUCAGAGUUCAUCCCAAAAUCAUUCAACGCGGAAAACAUAGGUGCGUGUUGCAAUCAAUCCGAGCCCUUCUUUUCCAAAUCGAUGAUACCUAAAACCAAUAAACAAAACUGUAAACACGAAGUUUAGUGAGUUCCCUAGAGCAUACCCCACACAGUCCACAUAAUCACAUAAUCUGUAUUAGCUAUAAAAGCUACAUAAACCAUAUCUAUCACAUAUCAACAUAUACGGAUGUUGUGGCUCGUCCCUAGGGUCUUACUCCAGAAUGCCAUGGCUCUCCACAUCAAGUUUUGGAAUUUAAAUUUUUGAUCUAGAAGGUUUUAAAAAGUUGCAAGACUUGCCAUCAAGUUUUGGAAUUUAAAUUUUUGAUUAAAAGUUUAAUUUUGAAAUAUUUAAAUUCUAAAACCCUAGUAAUUUGAAAAGUUUCAAAAAUGUGCCUGAUGGUUUUGUAAUUUAAAAUUUAAUUAAAUACAUUUAAUUGUGAAAUCUUAAAUUUAGAACCUUAAUGUUUAGAAUAGUUCAAAUUACACCCUUAUGGUUUUAUUAAGUUAAUUAAAAGUUUAAUUAAAAGAGAAAAUUAAUAAAAACCACCUAGUAUUUUAAAAGUGUAAAAUACACCCUUAUACUAUAUGUAAAAUUAAAAGUUUAAUUUAAGAUAUACAUGUAUAAGUAAAAGUCAGUCUUACCGUUAGUAGGCCUCAUUCAUGAAGCUGGUCUAUAAGGGGUGUUUAAGGAAAUUGCCUAUAAAAUGGCGAUUGAAUGAGUGUCCACUCUCACCCACCACACUCUUGACUAGUGGAGGGUCGUUAGCCGAACGGGUAGGAUAGGACGCAACCUUACAUUAUAAUUAUAAUGAAUACAAAGUAGCUAAAAGUUUUUAUAAAUUACCCAAAUCUUAGUUACUUUAGGAAAAAUUUGAAUUUGGUGCUAAUCCAUGAAAUUACACUUUGCACCUUGCUGAGACGUUAGUGGAGCAUGUGUGGUUAACCGACACACUAAUUUGGGAUUGGUAAGGGUGGCAAAGGGUAACUUGAUGUUUGUCAUAGAUCAAUGGAUCGUGUGUGGCUAACCAACACAUUGAUUAGGUGAUGGUAACAUGAGUGUACCUAGUACAUUUGCAUGGUUAUUCACACCUUGUUUGUGAUCCUUGGCAUCCCAGUCACAAACUUGAAGGGCAUAAUCGAGAUUAAACAUGCCAUUGAAAAGUUCAAUGAAUCUCAAAAGAUCUAGGAGUUUCAAUUCAUUUAAAACUUAAACUUCUUUUUCGUUUUUCAUGGUGGAAAUUGGUAAAUCGUCAUUUACCCAUCUUCAAAUAUUCUGCAACCAGAUUAUGGCAUCCCUCUUAUGAGUUGUAGAGUAUUGUGUUGGAUCCUAGCCUUGAUAUUUCAUUUGGGUGCUAUAUCAAGGAUUCUUAUCAACUAACUUGAAUUUUCUCCCGUUUUAUAGAUGUAUGAUUCAAACUAUGGUCUUCCCAAAUCCCUUAGAACAAGUCUUCCUAAUGAAGAUGAUGUUCCACGAUUCGAUCGAGGAACACGAGAUCAUGCUUCACUUCCUCCACCUCCUCUAAUUUUUCUCCUUGAACCACAAGUUCAAAAGCUUGAAAAGUUCAAGCUCACUCAAGUCCUUUUGGCAAGUAAACAUGAAAAUGGAAAGUCUGUGUGUGCACACGUCUUAGAGAUGAAGUUGCUCAUUGACAGGUUGGGUAUGUUGGGUGUUGUUGUCUCCAAGGAGCUGGCUGUUGAUUGGGUUCUUCAGUCGCUUCUUGAAUCAUAUAGUGAGUUCGUUAAAGAGUACUAUAUGAUGGACCACGACGUGACCCUCAUUGAUCUCACCUAUUUGCUUAUUGCUGCUGAAUCAAUGAUGAUUUGGCGCACUGGUCAAGCAAAUUUGUCUGGUGGAUCAAUGUCCCAAACUUCCAUGGACAUUGAAAAUGAUGACAUUGGAAAUCUAGAAAAAGUAAAUUAUGAGAUAGUUCCUUGUGCCAUUCCAAAAGAGUCCAUUUGUUUAUAGUGCCAAAUGAAGGGACAUUGGUUACGAAGCUGCCCUGACUACCUGAGAGAUCUAAGAUAUGGGAGAGUCAAGAUGUAUGGCUCUGCUUCAGGUAAUAAAAUCCACUAUCUAACUCUUUUAAGUUCCUAUUUUAGAUUCUUAAUACAUGAUGUGAUAAGAUUGCAUUUUGAUGUUUUGUAGGAUUGAAGAAAAGAGUGGAAGCUUAAAGGAAGAAGUGAGUUGAAUCUGAUCGCGAAGAAAUGGAUUUCGAUCGCAUGGUCCGAAGAUCGGAUUUUUGAGCUACUACUUUAGAGUUAGGAUAGAUUGCUAAAGAAUAUUUACAUAGUUUUCACUUGUAAACUCAUUGUAAGGAAAAGUUUUUCCGCACUUUUAUAAAUAAAAUAAAUUUUUUGGUUUUGUAUUAUUUGUGUUUCCUUGCAAUGGCUUUUGUGAAAAUUGGUGUUUGAAUGUUUUUAUUGUUAGUAAUAUUGUGAAUGGAUUUGAUUCUUAAUUAUGUUAUUAAUGGCAAUGUCAAAUUUACCAAAUAACAAAAGAUUCUCAUCACCCGAGUUUCAAUUGGACAGAAACUUGGAAUCAUACAACUUGUAUUGUGUGAUGAAUGAGAACCUUUGUAUUUAGAAAGUUGAGACUAAUUCCUUGACAAAGAGUCAAGUGAAGGAAUAAGAGAUCGGGUACACUUGGUUGUAUGCUGGUCAAUUCCACCACAAAGAACGAUGAGACUAUUCUUCAUGAUUUACUAAGAGUAUAGUAAGCAUGGUUAUACUUAUAAGAUUAAGUGUAAUUCUGAGUUAUUGUUAAGGUUUCAAUGAAUAAUAGAACGAAUAAGAAGAAUCAAGUAGUCAGAAAGAUAAAAGUUUCUUCAAUCUGAAAAGAUGGGAGAGUACUUUUGUAUGAUGUUUUAUGAUCGUCUUAGUGAUUAUGAAACCAUAUCACAAUUGAUCCUCUAAGGAUACCUUAGUGCACUAGUAUGGCUAAGAAGAGGAAUCGUGAAUUGUUGAAAUGGUUAAAUCAAAAGGUGGAUCAUACUUCAUUCCAAAAUCAAGUCUUAGAGUUAUACUCCAAGAUUGUGACUUGAGUGACAUGUCUUAAGAAAGGUUUAUAACACCUAUCAAUUGUGGAAUUUGAAAAAGUUUUCAUAUUCCUGCACAUUUGAAAUUGGUAAGUUGUGAUGUCUUAGAUAACAGAAAGACCAACUAGGACCAAUUGUGUGGAGUGUUUUGUCUUGAUAAGAACCCACACUAACUCUUGAAUAUUUGUUUGCCAAUGAAUGUUUCUUGACAAGAGAGUCUAAUAUGUCAAGAGGAUAGUGGGAGUCUUAAUGGUCUUGAAUAAUUUCAUGAACAAAUCAAGAAUAAACCUAGUUGAUCGUCACUAGCACACGACUUGAGGUUUAUAACCUAUUGUGUUGACAUACUCUUAUUUCUGUGCCAUUCCAGUUGAGUUGACUAUGCAUGUGAGUUCCAUGAAUUCUCAUUUAAAUGCAUAGAGGCAAAGCACCUUAAUCAAUGAGAGUUCAUUGAUAUGUGUAGGAGAGCAGCUGAACAACUUGGAACACAUGGUGGGCACUUAUGCUGCCAAGUGGCAAGAAAUUGAGAUUGAACAAGUUAAGUCCAUAUGAGUUUGAUUUUGUCAUAGACCUUGUCUUAUGAUAAUGGUUGAAAUUGACAAAUUCACAUGUAUAGGAACACACACACACACUAUAAAAUCUAAGUGUUAUAAGGUUUCUCUCCAUUUCAUGAAAAUGAUUGUGAGGAAACGCUUUUACUGAGAGAGAUUUUAAGGAGAUAGUAGUCGUGUAAAUUGCAUUCUCAAAUUCUAUUAUGAUUACGACAUCCCUCUUCAUAGUUCGAAUUGUGAGAUUUGGCAAUUAGUUUGACCAUUUGAGACUUAUUGAUAUAAGUUCAUGAAUUGUUUAGACACACAUAUGAGCUAUCUAAGGAAAGGUGUACGAGUUUUAGAAGCCUAGAUAAAGUCUUAUCGAAGUAUCUAGUAUUAGAAAUAUGAAUUUUUGGAAGUCAACAAGUAUUGAUAUCUAGAAGUUCACCUGAUUUCUGAAUACAUGUCAAAGCUAGUGGGAGCAUAAGUGUUAUGCUAGUAUGGAUAUAAUUAUCAUGUUGGUGGAAGAAUGAUUAUUAUGAUUUACGAUUUAGCAAUGUUAAUUAUAGAAAACAAAAGUUUCAAUUUGCAAAGUUGCAAGGGUUGAAAAGUAGUUUUGCUAUAAUUAAGGGAGAAAAUAUUAUACUUCAUUUCAAAUCUAAAAGCGUAGAUCGAGGAAUUUUAAUCAUAUUUAGUCAAAUAUAUAUGAAUGUUAUGUUUGAAUGGUUCAAUAUAAGGGAAAUUCUAUAUAUGGAAAUGUUAAUUGCAUUCUCAAAUUCAAUUAUGAUUACGACAUCCCUCUUCAUAAUCUGAAUUGUGAAACCAUGGAAAAUAGAGACAUUAUAGUAGAGGAUUGGUCUAGUAUCAUGUCCUUAUGUGAGACUGAUGGGUUUUAGCCAUAAGAACUUUCCUAUGUGCGCAUGCGAAACCCUAAUGCUCGGAUCUAGGUUUUCGAAUUAAACAUGCUUUGAAUCCAAGACUUCUAAUGACUAUUUUGGUGUAAUAACAAUAUUGAAACAGAUCUAGAAUCAUACCUUUGAAUUCCUUGUUGACCUUGUUGUCUUGGAGCUUCUAGAGUCACAAUUGUCACUCCUCUAAUGGCUUACAAACACCAAAUAGCAAGGAGGAUGAUUUGGGAGAGAGGAGAGGGGAGGAAUUCGGCCAGGGUCUCUAUACUUUAGGUGAAGUACCGAAUUCCUUAUGCCAUAGGGUUUAUUUAUACUUGUAGACUCCUUAAGGGUUACAACCUAAACCCUAAUUGGAUAAUCUUCUCUUAAGGCUAUCCAAAUCCUUUCCAUAGAUAAGUAAUGGACGAUUUGAGCUAUCCUUUAGCAUAUAGAAUCCGUCCAAUCCAUAUCUAUAUGGAUUUACAGUCUAAAGUUUAACUAUCAAACAAUUGACAGUUUAUACCCUCUUGUUUAAUUAAUCUCUUUAAGUCACCAAAUUAAUUCCAAUUAAUUCUAUGACUUAUAUUAAUCAAAUAACAAUAUAUUAUUCUUUAUAUUAUUCUCAUAAUAUAUUAAUAAUAUUUACUCUCUCUUAAUAAAUCAUCCUAUCAAGUUGCUAUGGUGAAGGCAACCCAAAAGGACCAUGCACAACCGGGUCAAAUACUUGCCUAAUAUAGUUGCAGCCUUAGACACUAUUCCAACAGUCUCCCACUUGGAUAAGUCUAGUAACUAUAUGCACAAGUACAAUUCGGUUUGCAAUCGUAGCUCUCAAAGACGCUGUCAAACUCUGAUCUAAUCAAUCUUGUCCUUUAGAUAAGGGAUCGUACAGUCCUCUGUUAGAUAUCAUGCUGACAAUCCUAUGGAAUGGUUAGUCAAGCAUUUAGGUUUCUCGAUCUCUGAUUUAUUUGACAUAGAACUUAAUCGAACACAUCAAUUCAGUUCUGACCGGGCCCGACACAUAAGUCAAAUCAAAUCAUCGAGCGGCCGAGAUAUCGCUUUUACCUUCUUAGAUAAAAGUUACAGAUAAACUUCGACUUAUAUGCAUUUACUUAUUCAUUUACCAACUAUACACAACAAUACGUUUUAUAACACCAAGUUACUGAUGCGUUUUCGUAUUAUCAAUGUACAAUCAAUUAACAAAUAAUAAACCAUAUAUCUAGGUUUUAAGACUAUAUGAUAUUAUCGUCUUGCGAUCACCUUUUAUAUCUUAUUCCAUAAGGUGAUUCCAGCAAGCGCGGGUUUAUUCCAAUGCUCAAAACUAGUUCAUAAGCACUCAUGAACGUUGCAGCAAUCCUUUGCUAUGUCUAACACCAUUUAGACAUUCUACACACCAAUUCAUGACAAUCUUCAUUCAUAUCUACUCCCAACAUAUGAACGAUUGUGGACCAUUUGAACAAUUCGAUUAUUCCUAAUAAACUCAAUUAUUCUGGAAGUCAAAACAUGCAAAGUGAAACAAUAGCUAAACAAUUAACAUAAGAUAGUAACAUUACUCAUAAAUAAAACUCCUUUAUUUAAUCAUCAAAUGUUAAUUACAUUUAUCUAUUACACGUUUCUAAUACUAUCUAAUCUAUGCUAAUAUCAUCCUUCAGCCCAAUACUCCUAGCAUGCUGCAAGUGCUUAACCCUACUCAGUCCCUUCGUAAGCGGAUCUGCUGGGUUAUCUUCUGAUGAUAUCCUCUUCACUACGAGUUGUCCUUCUUCUACACGAUGUCUAAUGAAGUGAUAUUUUCUGUCGAUAUGUCUUGAUCUACCAUGAUCCCUCGGUUCCUUGGUCAAGGCAACCGCUCCUUCGUUAUCACAGAAAAUCUCCAUGGGCUCCUUUAUGGCAGGUACAACUCCAAGAUCACCGAUGAAGUUCUUUAGCCAUAUUGCCUCCUUCGACGCUUCGCUCGCUGCAAUGUACUCUGAUUCGCACGUUGAAUCAGCUACGGUUUCCUGCUUGGAACUCUUCCAUGUCACUGCUCCUCCAUUUAGGGUAAAGACCCAGCCCGACUGCGAACGGUAGUUGUCCCUGUCGGUCUGAAAACUGGCGUCACUAUACCCUCGCACCUUCAAGUCAUCACUCCCUCCGAGGACUAAGAACCAUUCCUUCGUCCUCCGAAGGUACUUAAGGAUAUUCUUCACCGCAAUCCAAUGUGCUUUGCCAGGAUUCCCUUGAUAUCUGCUAACCAUGCUCAAAGCGAAGGCUACAUCAGGGCGAGUACAAGUCAUAGCGUACAUGAUUGAGCCAACUGCGGAAGCGUAUGGUACUCGGCUCAUUUCUGCUAUCUCAGCUUCGGUACUCGGACUUUGAGUCUUACUCAAUUUGGCAUUACUUUGUAUCGGUAGUUCUCCCUUCUUUGAGUUUUCCAUACUAAAACGUUUUAGUACCUUCUCUAAGUAAGUAUUCUGACUAAGUCCAAUUAGUCUCUUACUUCUUUCUCUUACUAUCCUUAUUCCCAAAAUGUAAGAAGCCUCUCCGAGGUCCUUCAUAGCGAAGCACUUCCCGAGCCAGGACUUAACCUCCUGCAGAGUCGGGAUGUCGUUUCCUAUGAGUAAUAUGUCAUCGACAUAUAGAACGAGGAAGCUUACUAUACUCCCACUGGCUUUGACAUAUACACAAGAUUCGUCUUCGCUUCGUACAAAUCCAAACUCUUUGACUUUCUCAUCGAAGCAAAGAUUCCAUCUGCGAGACGCUUGCUUAAGUCCAUAAAUGGACUUCUCAAGCUUACACACUCUAUCCGGAUGCUUCGGAUCCACAAACCCCUCUGGCUGAGCCAUGUAAACAUCCUCAGCCAACUUUCCGUUAAGGAAAGCGGUCUUGACAUCCAUUUGCCAAAUCUCAUAAUCAUGAAAUGCGGCAAUUGCUAGCAUCACUCUAAUAGAUUUAAUCUUCGCAACUGGUGAGAAGGUCUCAUCAUAGUCAACUCCGGGAGUUUGAGUAAAGCCCUUCGCAACCAAUCGCGCUUUAUAUGUGUGUACGUUUCCAUCCACGUCGGUCUUCUUCUUGAAGAUCCAUUUGCACCCAACGGUCUUACGUCCGGGCACAUAAUCAACCAAAUUCCAAACUUGGUUAUCAUACAUGGAUUGGAUCUCGCUAUCCAUUGCCUCUUUCCAUUUUGCAGACUCCGGGCCUGCCAUGGCUUCCUUAUAGCUAUUAGGUUCAUCAAGAUUUACUAGUGUACCAUCACUAAUAUACGUGUCCCCUUCGGUAGUAAUAUGAAAACCAUAAAACUGGGGAAGAACUCUAACUCUAUCGGAACGUCUAAGAGGUAAGGAUUCGUCAAUCGGUUCAACCGGAGUUUCCUCCUCGGGUUGAGUGCCAGCGGUAGAGGUUCCUUCAUCUAUCGACUCUUGAAUCUCUUCAAGUUCGAUUUGCCUCCCACUGUCUCCUUGGCUUAUGAGUUCUCGCUCUCGGAAAACUCCUCUCCUCGCAACGAAGACAACAUUGUCCUUCGGUCUAUAGAAGAGAUAUCCAAAGGAUGUCUGCGGGUAGCCGAUGAAAAUACAUCGCUCACUUCGAGGUUCAAGCUUGUCGUGAGUAUCUCGUCUUACGAAAGCCUCGCAACCCCAAACCUUGAUAUGUGCCAACGAGGGAGCUUUCCCUGUCCACAUCUCGUGAGGUGUUUUGGCAACCUUCUUAGUAGGGACUCGGUUAAGGAUAUGGGCGGCAGUCUCUAAGGCAUACCCCCAAAAAGAGAUUGGUAGUGAAGCACGACUCAUCAUAGAGCGAACCAUAUCCAAUAAGGUUCGAUUACGCCUUUCUGCCACACCAUUCAACUGCGGUGUCCUAGGAGGCGUCAAUUGUGAAACUAUUCCACACUCCUUGAGAUAAUCGUGGAAUUCAAGACUUAGGUACUCUCCUCCUCGAUCGGAUCGAAGCAUCUUGAUUUUCCUGCCCAAUUGAUUCUCCACUUCAUUCUUGAACUCUUUGAACUUUUCAAAGGUGUCUGACUUUUGCUUGAUUAAGUAGAUAUACCCAUAUCUACUAUAGUCAUCGGUAAAAGUCACAUAGAAGCGGUUCCCAUCCUUCGUGGUUGAUCUAAACGGUCCACAUACAUCGGUAUGUAUUAGGUCCAAUAGACCCUCGCCCCUUUCACAUGUACUCGUGAAGGGUGACUUAGUCAUCUUUCCAAGCAAACAAGACUCGCAUGUGUCAUCUUCCCUAAGGUCGAAUGACUCCAACACUCCAUCCUUUUGGAGUUGGGCUAUGCGUUUCUUGUUGACAUGUCCAAGACGACAAUGCCACAAGGAUGCUUUAUCCAUACUAGUGGAAGAAUCAAUAUUCAAAACAUCAUUUCCUAAGUUAUCAACAAUCAUAACAGUUUCAUAUAUUCCAUUACAUGGUAUAGCUUCAAAGUAAAAGACACCAUUUAGAUAAGCCAAAAUAGAACCAUUCUCAUUAUUAAAAGAAAAUCUAAAUCCUUGUCUAUAUAAACCAUGAAAUGAAAUGAUGUUUCUAGCCAUUUCUGGCGAAUAGCAACAAUUGUUCAAAUCUAAAACCAAACUAUUCCUAAGCACUAAAGAAUACACUCCAAUCUUGGUCACAGGCGACGAUCUUCUGUUCCCCAUGAUUAGAUUGAUCCUUCCUUGCUCCACAUCCCUACUUCUUCUUAGUCCCUGCACAUUAGAACAAAUGUGGUAACCACAACCGGUAUCAAGAACCCAAGAAAUAGCAUGAUUAGAAUCGUUAGAUUUAAUUGUGUAUAUACCUGCGAAAGACGGCUUGAUCUUUCCUUCCUUGAUGGCUUGCAGGUACUCUGGGCAGCUUCUCUUCCAAUGUCCUAUCUUGUGGCAGUGGUGGCACUCUGCCUCCUUCGGGUUAGGGCAGGGCUUAGCAGGAUCAACUUUGGUCCCACUAGAAGAGGCACCAUCUCGGGCUUUCACCUUGCGAUAGUUCUUCGAUGAAGCUUUCCUCUUCUUUCCCUUUCCUUGUCCAAUAGCCAAGACAGGAGCAGCGGGCGGAUUGGGAGUUGGUGCAACAGACUUGUCCUUGAAGUUGCUCUCAGCGACCCUCAAGAGACCUUGGAGUUUGCUUAGGGUGACCUCCUCUUUGUUCAUGUGGUAGGUCAUCCUAAAUUGAUUGUACCUCGGAGGCAAAGAGUGAAGCACCAUGUCGAUCGCCAAGUCUUCCCCAAAGUCAACAUUUAACUUGCGAAGGCGGUCGACAUACCUUUGCAUCUUUUGCAGGUGCACGGUAAGAGACUCUCCAUGACCCAUCUUAGCGGAAAUCAUGUUAGUGAAAAUCUCAUAACGCUCUUGUCUCGCGUUUUGGUGGUAUCUCUCCAAUAAGUCUUGAUGCAUCUCGUACGGGUACAUGUCCUCAUAGGACUUUUGGAAUUCGGAGUUCAUGGUGGCUAUCAUGAUGCAAUGUACCUUCGUUGCAUCGCGCUCAUGAGUUUCAAAAGCGGUCAUUUCAGCCGGAGUAGCGAUUUCAGGGUUGAUUUUCUCGAGCUUCUCAUCGAGGACAUACUCCUUAUCCUCAUAGCGAGCAAUGGUGCGAAUGUAUCUUAUCCAUUCGCUAAAGUUCGUCCCAUCGAAAGUGACCUUUUGACAAAGGCUCAUCAAUGUGAAAGAACUAGCAGCAGCGUUGUUUGCGUUCGACAUCUACAAAUAGAAAGGACAAAGAUAGAUUAGAAUAUGAAUCCCUAAUUAUCACCCAAUAAGAAAAAUUAGGGCUAGGAUCCAACAACAAUAUUUACAUAUUAGAAAAGGGAUGCCGUAAUCUAACAUGCAAAUAAUUUGAAGGUAAGUGAAUGACGAUUCACUAAUUCUCCACCAUAAAAACCUAACUAUAAGUCCUAAAUGUAUUGAGAAUUCCUAGGUUCGGAUGAGAUUCAUUGAAACUAUUCAAUGGCAUGUUUAAAUCUCGAUAUGCCCCUCUUGUUUGUGACUGGGAUACCGAGGAUCACAAAGCGGGUGUGAAUUACCAUGCAAAUUCACAUGGUGCCUUCAUUGUAACGAUCACCUAUUCGAUGUGCCGGUAAACCACACACGCUCCAUCGAACUAUGAUAAACAAUGAAUCACCCUUUGCCACCUUUGCUUAGAACCAAUUAGUGUGCCGGUAAACCACACACGCUCCACUAACUUCUUAGCAAGGGUGCAAAGUGUAAUUUCAUGGGAUUGCAUCAAUUCACUUUUCCUAAAGUAACUAGGAUUGGGAAAUUUUAAAAUAUGUGUAGUUACUUUGUAUUUCUUAUUAUACUUUUAAUGAGAGGAUGAGGUUGCCCUAUCCUACCCGUUCGGCUAACGACCCUCCACCGAUCAAGCAAGCGGUGGGUGUGAGUGUACACCCAUUAAGCGCCAUUUUAUAGGCCGCAACCUUAU
rnacentral:lncRNA from 1 species